rnacentral:rRNA from 1 species
UACGUAGGUGGCAAGCGUUGUCCGGAUUUACUGGGCGUAAAGAGCGCGCAGGCGGUCUUUUAAGUCGAAUGUGAAAGCCCCCGGCUCAACUGGGGAGGGUCAUUCGAUACUGAUCGACUUGAAGGCAGGAGAGGGUAGUGGAAUUCCCGGUGUAGUGGUGAAAUGCGUAGAGAUCAUGAGGAAGACCAGUGGCGAAGGCGGGUCUCUGGACAGUUCCUGACACUGAGGCACGAAGGCCAGGGGAGCAAACGGG